rnacentral:rRNA from 1 species
ACUCGUAGGCGGUUUGUCGCGUCUGCUGUGAAAACUGGAGGCUCAACCUCCAGCCUGCAGUGGGUACGGGCAGACUAGAGUGCGGUAGGGGAGAUUGGAAUUCCUGGUGUAGCGGUGGAAUGCGCAGAUAUCAGGAGGAACACCGAUGGCGAAGGCAGAUCUCUGGGCCGUAACUGACGCUGAGGAGCGAAAGCAUGGGAGCGAACA